UGAGACCUCGGGACUGAAUCUGCAGUACAGUCGCUUGUCUGAGACCGAGCAGCCAGGUCACGGAAAAAGAAACUCAUUGUGUAAUAUCAGUUGGGGCGCUUUCAGUCGGACCAAUGCUGCUGGCGUUGCUGCAGACUCCCCUGCCUUCCAGCAGGGCUCGGAGGGGCCUCGGAUCAUCCUCUGAAGGUGCACACCGUAGACCGUCGGCGCAGCUCACAGUGUACACCCCACAUGGUUCUCCAAGGGUCAGAGCGGUGCCAUUUACAUUCACGGUCGGCUGACUCUGUGUGGACUUUGAUUUACAGGUGGCACAUCCUCUGGACGGCGUGGUC